rnacentral:rRNA from 1 species
UACGUAGGUGGCAAGCGUUGUCCGGAUUUAUUGGGUUUAAAGGGUGCGUAGGUGGUCUAUUAAGUCAGUGCUGAAAUAUCCCGGCUUAACCGGGAGGGUGGCAUUGAUACUGAUGGACUUGAGUAAAGUUGAGGUGGGCGGAAUUGACGGUGUAGCGGUGAAAUGCUUAGAUAUGACACAGAACACCGAUUGCGAAGGCAGCUCACUAAGCCAUAACUGACGCUGAUGCACGAAAGCGUGGGGAGCAAACAGG